GCCCAGGUGGUGAAACUGGCAGACACGCUAGGUUCAGGGUCUAGUGAGAUUACUCUCGUGCGAGUUCGAAUCUCGCCCUGGGCA
rnacentral:tRNA from 1 species